GGCACGCCUAACACAUGCAAGUCGAGCGCUUCACUUCGGUGAGGAGCGGCGGACGGGUUAGUAACGCGUGGGAACAUACCCUUUUCUAAGGAAUAGCCACUGGAAACGGUGAGUAAUACCUUAUACGCCCUUCGGGGGAAAGAUUUAUCGGUGAAGGAUUGGCCCGCGUUAGAUUAGUUAGUUGGUGGGGUAACGGCCUACCAAGACGACGAUCUAUAGCUGGUUUGAGAGGAUGAUCAGCAACACUGGGACUGAGACACGGCCCAGACUCCUACGGGAGGCAGCAGUGGGGAAUCUUAGACAAUGGGCGCAAGCCUGAUCUAGCGAUGCCGCGUGAGUGAUGAAGGCCUUAGGGUCGUAAAGCUCUUUCGCCAGGGAUGAUAAUGACAGUACCUGGUAAAGAAACCCCGGCUAACUCCGUGCCAGCAGCCGCGGUAAUACGGAGGGGGUUAGCGUUGUUCGGAAUUACUGGGCGUAAAGCGUACGUAGGCGGAUCAGAAAGUUAGGGGUGAAAUCCCGAGGCUCAACCUCGGAACUGCCUCUAAAACUCCUGGUCUUGAGUUCGAGAGAGGUGAGUGGAAUUCCAAGUGUAGAGGUGAAAUUCGUAGAUAUUUGGAGGAACACCAGUGGCGAAGGCGGCUCACUGGCUCGAUACUGACGCUGAGGUACGAAAGUGUGGGGAGCAAACAGGAUUAGAUACCCUGGUAGUCCACACCGUAAACGAUGAAUGCCAAACGUCGGCAGGCAUGCCUGUCGG
rnacentral:rRNA from 1 species